rnacentral:rRNA from 1 species
GAUGAACGCUAGCGACAGGCCUAACACAUGCAAGUCGAGGGGCAGCACAUUAGUAGCAAUACUAUGGUGGCGACCGGCGCACGGGUGAGUAACACGUAUGCAACCUACCUGUAAGCGGGGGAUAACCCGGAGAAAUUCGGACUAACACCGCAUAACACUUCAGAACUGCAUGGUUUUGAAGUUAAAUAUUUAUAGCUUACAGAUGGGCAUGCGUAUGAUUAGCUAGUUGGUGAGGUAACGGCUCACCAAGGCAACGAUCAUUAGGGGUUCUGAGAGGAAGGUCCCCCACACUGGUACUGAGACACGGACCAGACUCCUACGGGAGGCAGCAGUGAGGAAUAUUGGUCAAUGGGCGCGAGCCUGAACCAGCCAAGUCGCGUGAAGGAAGAAGGUUCUAUGGAUUGUAAACUUCUUUUGUAAGGGAAUAAAACACAUCACGUGUGGUGUCUUGUAUGUACUUUACGAAUAAGGAUCGGCUAACUCCGUGCCAGCAGCCGCGGUAAUACGGAGGAUCCGAGCGUUAUCCGGAUUUAUUGGGUUUAAAGGGUGCGUAGGCGGACCCUUAAGUCAGUGGUGAAAGUUUGCGGCUCAACCGUAAAAUUGCCAUUGAAACUGAGGGUCUUGAGUGUAAAUGAGGUAGGCGGAAUGUGUUGUGUAGCGGUGAAAUGCUUAGAUAUAACACAGAACACCAAUUGCGAAGGCAGCUUACUGGGAUACAACUGACGCUGAGGCACGAAAGCGUGGGGAUCAAACAGGAUUAGAUACCCUGGUAGUCCACGCAGUAAACGAUGAAUACUAGCUGUAUGCGAUAUAGUGUAUGUGGCAAAGCGAAAGCGUUAAGUAUUCCACCUGGGGAGUACGUUCGCAAGAAUG